rnacentral:rRNA from 1 species
UGGGGAAUAUUGGACAAUGGGCGGAAGCCUGAUCCAGCCAUGCCGCGUGUGUGAAGAAGGCCUUUUGGUUGUAAAGCACUUUAAGCGAGGAGGAGGCUACUUGGGUUAAUACUCUAGGAUAGUGGACGUUACUCGCAGAAUAAGCACCGGCUAACUCUGUGCCAGCAGCCGCGGUAAUACAGAGGGUGCGAGCGUUAAUCGGAUUUACUGGGCGUAAAGCGUGCGUAGGCGGCUUCUUAAGUCGGAUGUGAAAUCCCUGAGCUUAACUUAGGAAUUGCAUUCGAUACUGGGAAGCUAGAGUAUGGGAGAGGAUGGUAGAAUUCCAGGUGUAGCGGUGAAAUGCGUAGAGAUCUGGAGGAAUACCGAUGGCGAAGGCAGCCAUCUGGCCUAAUACUGACGCUGAGGUACGAAAGCAUGGGGAGCAAACAGG